rnacentral:rRNA from 1 species
GAACUUCAACAGUCCAUCGAUUUGUUCUUGCCUGGAGUCGGAUGCAUUUUCAAAGUAUUAACUGAACCUGGAUCUAUAACAUUUUCAGCUAGUCGAAUCAGUCUAUUUUGGUAGCGAGACUCGUGUUAAAAAUAUGACUUGCAUAAAUAACAAAUUCGACUUGGCGUUAUAGGUAAACAGACACGUUCUUUGAUUUCAGUACUUUGUACGGCAUGCCAUGAGCAUUGUUUGUGUCACAUGAGUAACUAAUAUCUAAAUAUUAGUUUUAUUCAUGUCGAUGCCUAAUGUUUUGUGGCUGUCAAUGAAAUCGGCAAGUCUACAGGAGUUUUGAAUGCCGAGUUAUUCGACCCGUCUUGAAACACGGUCUAAGGAGUUCACUGCAUGUGCAAGAGUUCGGCUGUAUGAAAAGCCUUGCUCGUAAUGAAAGUAAAGAACAUUCUUGCAAUGUUUUAAGUGUGAUUUCUGUCAUCUGGUGCAAAUCAUGACAAUGAACGCAACACUGACAGGUUCUAUUGCCGUUGGCAAAGAGCUUAGUAAGAGUAUAUGCAAUGAGACCCGAAAGAUGGUGAACUUAAUGUGUGUAGAAUGAAGCCAGGGGAAACCCUGGUGGAAGUUCGUAGCGGUUCUGACGUGCAAAUCGAUCGUCAAAUUUUGGUAAAGGGGCGAAAGACUAAUCGAACCGUCUAGUAGCUGGUUCCUUCCGAAGUUUCCCUCAGGAUAGCUGACACUUAUUUUACACAGUUUUAUCCGGUAAAGCGAAUGUUUAGAGGCCUUAGGAACAAAAUGUUCUUAACCUAUUGACAAACUUUAAAUGGGUAUGAAGUUCAUUUCUGCUUUGUUGAGAAUGAACAUUGAAUGUGAGUGUCAAGUGGGCCAUUUUUGGUAAGCAGAACUGGCGCUGUUGGAUGCACAAAACGUCAACUUAAAGAGUCAGACGAUUUCGCUCAUAAGAAACCAUAAAAGGUGUUGGUUGAUAUAGACAGCAGGACGGUGGCCAUGGAAGUCGGAAUCCGCUAAGGAGUGUGUAACAACUCACCUGCCGAAUCAACUAGUCCUAAAAAUGGAUGACGCUCGAGCGAAUUUCUUAUAGUUGACUGUUAUGAUAAAAUAUGCUUUAAACGGAAAUUAUGUCAUAACAAGUAGGAAGGUUGAAAUGGUUGCGUCAAAGGUUAACACGUGAGUGUGACUGGAGCAGUCAUUUGUACAGAUCUUAGUGGUAGUAGCAACUAUUCAAAUGAGAACUUUGAAGACUGAAGUGGAGAAAGGUUCCAUGUGAACAGCUUUUGGACAUGGGUCAGUCAGUCCUAAGAUGCGCGCGAAAGCGGGUUCUGAACGAAGAAUAUUUAUACACAUAUAUAUUCUAUUAAAUCGAAAGGGAAUCCGGUUAAUAUUCCUGAACCAAGUGGCGGAGAAUGUUGGAUGUCAAAUCUAACAAAUGUGGUAACACAAACAAGCGAGAAUACGUCAAGAGUAAUCUCAGAAAGAGUUUUCUCUUCUUUGUUACAUCAUAAAAACCCUGGAAUCAGUUCAACUGGAGAUAGGGUUCAAAUGAUGGUAAAGACCAGCCGUUCUUGCUGGUUCUCGAUGCAUUACUCUGGACCCUUGAAAAUUUUCGCAAGAUCAUUAAUUUCGCACUUGUCUGUACUAUAAACCGCAUCAGGUCUCCAAGGUUAAAAGCCUCUAGUCAAUUAGAACAAGGUAGCACAAGGGAAGUCGGCAAAUUGGACUUGUAACUUCGGGAAAUAGGUUGGCUCUAAGAACUGGGGUAGUCGGGCUUGAAUAUGAAGCAGUAGAUAUUAUGCUGGAGCUGAGCUUUUGCCUUCGGGUGAGUGUCUCUUAGUUCGGACUAGUGUUUUGUCUCGCUGUGGACUGUUCUAGCUAUGGUAUAUGAUUUCGGUUAUAUACUUCGGCUGCCGUUUAACAGUUAACUUAGAACUUAUUGCGUCUAG